AUUGAACGCUGGCGGCAGGCUUAACACAUGCAAGUCGAGCGGGGGAAGGUAGCUUGCUACUGGACCUAGCGGCGGACGGGUGAGUAAUGCUUAGGAAUCUGCCUAUUAGUGGGGGACAACAUCUCGAAAGGGAUGCUAAUACCGCAUACGUCCUACGGGAGAAAGCAGGGGAUCUUCGGACCUUGCGCCAGUAGAUGAGCCUAAGGCGGAUUAGCCAGUUGGUGGGGUAAAGGCCUACCAAGGCGACGAUUUGUAGCGGGUCUGAGAGGAUGAUCCGCCACACUGGGACUGAGACACGGCCCAGACUCCUACGGGAGGAAGCAGUGGGGAAUAUUGGACAAUGGGGGGAACCCUGAUCCAGCCAUGCCGCGUGUGUGAAGAAGGCCUUAUGGUUGUAAAGCACUUUAAGCGAGGAGGAGGCUACUCUAGUUAAUACCUAGGGAUAGUGGACGUUACUCGCAGAAUAAGCACCGGCUAACUCUGUGCCAGCCGCCGCGGUAA
rnacentral:rRNA from 1 species